rnacentral:rRNA from 1 species
CUUAACACAUGCAAGUCGAACGCAUCCUUCGGGAUGAGUGGCAGACGGGUGAGUAACACGUGGGAACGUGCCCUCCGGUCUGGGAUAACCCUGGGAAACUAGGGCUAAUACCGGAUACGCCCUUUUGGGGAAAGGUUUACUGCCGAAGGAUCGGCCCGCGUCUGAUUAGCUAGUUGGUGAGGUUACGGCUCACCAAGGCGACGAUCAGUAGCUGGUCUGAGAGGAUGAUCAGCCACACUGGGACUGAGACACGGCCCAGACUCCUACGGGAGGCAGCAGAAGGG